GCCGGCAUCGCAUAACCUGGUAGUGCGGCGGUCUCGAAAACCGCUGUCGCAAGACCUGCAGGUUCAAAUCCUGCUGCCGGCG
rnacentral:tRNA from 1 species